AGAAUUUCAAAAGAAACUCAAUCAGGCAGGCUCCGGUUUUCACAUUCACUCUGCGUUUUACUUUUCAGCAAAAAGUUAUAUUUUUCAUUUCAAGGCGCUCUGGAUUUGUUUACUCUUUGCGCCAAGUUCACUGCUGUUAUACCUAACAGAGAUUUAUCGAUAGCCAAAUCGGGCUGCCACUGCUGUUAAGAUGAAUUUACUAAUUGUAUUUGCCCUGACCAAUUUUUUCAGAUCCAAUUUUGAGGUUGGCUUAAAUAAUAAUGAUUUAUAAAUAGGGCACUAGCUCAAUUGCCCAGAUUUGUUUAAUUGUAUAAAAACCCGGGUGCUUUUAAUUUCAGCGAGGAAUUUGUUGCCGUUUUGAAAACGGAAAAUUCUUGUGUUUAACGAGUACGGAGCAUCAGACUUUUCGUUUUGAAAAGUAAAUCACAUUUUUAUUGUGAAAGUUCAAACCGGAGCCUGACUGAAUGACUGACAAAAAAAACAAACAAUCACACACGGUCUAUCUGAGAAAUAUUUCCCGUUUUUUUUAUUUGGAAUAAAUACAAAUAUAUGGAGAAGUAAAUGUUAUAUCCUCUGCACAAUGAACCCAUUACAGGGGAACGGUGGGAUAUUUUGACAAAUGUGAAACUCCUGUUCACACUGGCACCACCCAUGGAAAAAUAGUUGGAUGAAAAUAAAAUAACUAAGAUUUGUGCGGAAAAUGAUAUUGCUUAUUAAGCAAAAAUGGAUAGUUGUAAUUAAUGAGUCAAUAAUUAAUGAAUUCAACGAGGCGUAGAUAUGAACAUGAAUGUUCGAUUCGUGCCGCUAACAUGGACUGGGCCAUAUCCAUAUAAACAAGGGAAUUUUUUCGAGGACCAUGCAAAUCCACAAUACUCUACUGCCAAAUAUCAAUCAAAAUAUUUCCCAUUUCAGCAGCCUACUUCAACCUGCUGCUUGUUGUUUUUCUAAUGGCUGUAAAAUUAUGGUGCGCAGGAAUAAGAAGCAAAUACAUACAGUGGCGACCAAAAGUGCAUGUUCACGACACUGACUUUCGUCACUCAUAAAAAAUCAACGAAACUAGAUAAUCCAACAAUUUAAAUUAUUUUAAACUUAUCAUUUAAUUCGAAACAAAUUGGAGUAAAAAACAGAAACUAAAAUCCAAAAAACCCCGCAUGUACUCACUUUUGCACGUUUAAUGACUUGCACCUAUUUUCGCUCUCCCACUUCUCUUAUCAGCAAAAUCAGUAGAUUCAUGUUUAUGUUACUUCUUAUGGUUCGUAUUAGAGCCCUGCAUGAAUCCACAUGAUUCAUAAAAUAUACUCAUGCCCCUUCAAUGCGUUCGAUCAUUACGAAUCAUGCCUUCAGUAAGAUUUAAAUAUCCCCAAAUCACUAAAAAACCGAAUUCGAGCAGUGCGAAUCAAUAUCAGCAAGCUUCGUUCGCAUGGCUCUGAACUGAUUCAAAACAAACAAGGUGAAAACUUCCUUUGCAUGCGUACACAUGACAGUAUGUAUGUAAAACAAUAUUGCGCACACGGAGUGUGUGAUUAUUGUUGUAUAUGUAUGUGUGUGUAUUCCAGAAUAUUCCACUGUGCGCAUUGCUGAACAGCUGCGUGGCUUU